ACGGGAGGCAGCAGUGGGGAAUAUUGGACAAUGGGGGAAACCCUGAUCCAGCGACGCCGCGUGAGUGAAGAAGUAUUUCGGUAUGUAAAGCUCUAUCAGCAGGGAAGAUGAUGACGGUACCUGACUAAGAAGCCCCGGCUAACUACGUGCCAGCAGCCGCGGUAAUACGUAGGGGGCAAGCGUUAUCCGGAUUUACUGGGUGUAAAGGGAGCGUAGGCGGUCUGGCAAGUCUGAUGUGAAAACCCGGGGCUUAACCUCGGGAUUGCAUUGGAAACUGUCGGACUUGAGUGUCGGAGAGGAAAGCGGAAUUCCUAGUGUAGCGGUGAAAUGCGUAGAUAUUAGAAGGAACACCAGUGGCGAAGGCGGCUUUCUGGACGAUAACUGACGCUGAGGCUCGAAAGCGUGGAGAGCAAACAGGAUUAGAUACCCUGGUA
rnacentral:rRNA from 1 species